rnacentral:rRNA from 1 species
GACGAACGCUGGCGGCGUGCUUAACACAUGCAAGUCGAACGGAAAGGCCCUGCUUUUGUGGGGUGCUCGAGUGGCGAACGGGUGAGUAACACGUGAGUAACCUGCCCUUGACUUUGGGAUAACUUCAGGAAACUGGGGCUAAUACCGGAUAGGAGCUCCUGCUGCAUGGUGGGGGUUGGAAAGUUUCGGCGGUUGGGGAUGGACUCGCGGCUUAUCAGCUUGUUGGUGGGGUAGUGGCUUACCAAGGCUUUGACGGGUAGCCGGCCUGAGAGGGUGACCGGCGACAUUGGGACUGAGGUACGGCCCAGACUCCUACGGGAGGCAGCAGGGGGGAAUAUUGCACAAUGGGCGGAAGCCGGAUGCAGCAACGCCGCGGGCGGGAUGACGGCCUUCGGGGUGUAAACCGCUUUCGCCUGAGACGAAGCGUGAGUGACGGUAAUGGGUAAAGAAGCACCGGCUAACUACGUG